UGGGGAAUCAUGGUCAAUGGGCGAAAGCCUGAACCUGCGACGCCGCGUGAAUGAUGAAAGUCGUAAGAUCGUAAAACUCUUUUCAGAGAUCUUAAAUCCUAUCCGUCAACAACGGGCAGGUCUGACUCUCCCUGGAAGAAGCCCCAGCCAACUACGUGCCAUCAGCUGCGGUAAUACGGACGGUGCAAGCGUUAUUCGGAAUGACUGGGCGUAAAGCGCGUGUAGGCGGUUAUUCAAGUAUCAUGUGAAAGCAAAUGGCUUAACCAGUGAAGUGCUUGGGAAACUGUUGGACUUGAGUACGGGAGAGGAAGAUGGAAUUGGUGGUGUAGAGGUGAAAUCCGUAGAGAUCGGGAGGAAUAUCAGUGGCGAAGGCGAUCAACUGGAACGUAACUGACGCUGAGGCGCGAAAGCGUGGGGAGCAAACA
rnacentral:rRNA from 1 species